AGAAUCAACGCUGGCGGCGUGCCUAACACAUGCAAGUCGAACGAGAAAGUGGAGCAAUCCACGAGUAAAGUGGCGCACGGGUGAGUAACACGUGACUAACCUACCCUUGAGUGGGGGAUAACCUAGGGAAAACCUGGGCUAAUACCGCAUAAUACCUUCGGGUCAAAGGAGCAAUUCGCUUAAGGAGGGGGUCGCGGCCGAUUAGUUAGUUGGCGGGGUAAUGGCCCACCAAGACUAUGAUCGGUAUCC
rnacentral:rRNA from 1 species